rnacentral:rRNA from 1 species
AGUUUGAUCCUGGCUCAGGACGAACGCUGGCGGCGUGCUUAACACAUGCAAGUCGAACGAUGAAGCCCUUCGGGGUGGAUUAGUGGCGAACGGGUGAGUAACACGUGGGCAAUCUGCCCUUCACUCUGGGACAAGCCCUGGAAACGGGGUCUAAUACCGGAUAAUACCGGCUUCCGCAUGGGGGUUGGUUGAAAGCUCCGGCGGUGAAGGAUGAGCCCGCGGCCUAUCAGCUUGUUGGUGGGGUAAUGGCCUACCAAGGCGACGACGGGUAGCCGGCCUGAGAGGGCGACCGGCCACACUGGGACUGAGACACGGCCCAGACUCCUACGGGAGGCAGCAGUGGGGAAUAUUGCACAAUGGGCGAAAGCCUGAUGCAGCGACGCCGCGUGAGGGAUGACGGCCUUCNNGUUGUAAACCUCUUUCAGCAGGAAGAAGCGAAA